AUUGAACGCUGGCGGCACGCCUUACACAUGCAAGUCGAACGGUAACGCGGGGCAACCUGGCGACGAGUGGCGAACGGGUGAGUAACGCAUCGGAACGUGCCCAGUAGUGGGGGAUAGCCCGGCGAAAGCCGGAUUAAUACCGCAUACGACCUACGGGUGAAAGAGGGGGAUCGCAAGACCUCUCGCUAUUGGAGCGGCCGAUGUCAGAUUAGGUAGUUGGUGGGGUAAAGGCCUACCAAGCCUACGAUCUGUAGCUGGUCUGAGAGGACGACCAGCCACACUGGGACUGAGACACGGCCCAGACUCCUACGGGAGGCAGCAGUGGGGAAUUUUGGACAAUGGGCGCAAGCCUGAUCCAGCCAUGCCGCGUGCGGGAAGAAGGCCUUCGGGUUGUAAACCGCUUUUGUCAGGGAAGAAACGCUCUGGACUAAUACUCUGGGGUAAUGACGGUACCUGAAGAAUAAGCACCGGCUAACUACGUGCCAGCCGCCGCCGCAA
rnacentral:rRNA from 1 species